CGCAGCUGGCUAGACAUAGUCACUACCUCAUCGUUCAUUCUUGUAUGUAUUCUUUCAUUAAACAAGUUUCCCAUUCAUAUCACGCGAAAGCAUGUUUUUUUACUCAUUCAAUUACUGUUUGUGUGCUCCAAUAAAUAUAUAUAUUAGUUACUGCUAAUUUUAUUUUUUAUCUUAAUAAUAUGUGAAAGUGAAAGUUACCAAUAAGUAAUUAUCUAUUGUUAGUGUUUGAUGUGAAGUGAUUUAAGUGCCUUCGAGUUAUUAUUUUUAUAAAUAAUUAAUUAUUAUUUCCUUACAUAACAUAAAAUGGUCAGCUUUAAAACAAACAAUUGUUCGAGUGAGCAUUCACCGGCACAUUGCCAUCAUCUGGGGACAUUGUGUAGUCCACUGAGGCAUUGCAGCAACAGCUACCCUUUGAGUCAAGGCCAUAGUCAUGAUCGAACACUGCCCUCACGUUGUACACCACCUAGGACUACUUACCCUCUAUCACAUGGCUGUGCUUUGCAUUCGAGGCUCGACCAGCCGGUGACCAGUUCAACAUCUGCCAUGGACGACAAAAAAGUUGUCCAGGCUGCACCAGCAGCAAACUCUGGCCAGCAAGCACGAGUUAAGAAUAGCUUGGAUGGUUCAGGAGUUGUUGCAUCGAUUUCAGGAGCAAGGAGACGAAGUGGACCCCAAGGUUUACGUUCACCAGCAGCUAAGAGGCCACUGUCAGCUCCGGUAGCACUGCAAGGAUGGCUACACAAACAAGGUUCAGAGGGGCUCAUGCUUUGGAAGAAACGAUGGUUCGUUUUGUCGGAGUAUUGUCUUUUCUAUUAUAAAGGUCCAGAAGAAGAAAAGCUACUGGGUUCCAUUUUACUACCUUCCUAUCGGAUAACUGUAUGUAAACCUGAGGAUAAGGUCAAUAAGAAGUUCGCUUUCAAAGCAGAACAUGCAAACAUGAGGACUUACCACUUUGCUGCUGACACUAGAGAGAGUAUGAAUCAGUGGGUAAAUGCUCUUACACUGGCGUCACUCUUACAGGAUCCCAAUCCAAUAAAAUUUUGCAGAAGCAGAGAAGAGCCUCCUGUAGCAUUGGAAAUCGCAGGACCAGCUGAUGAAGUUGGAAGUGCCAGGCCAAGUGUUUCUUCAAUAUCGUCUAUUCUUAAUCAAAGUGCAGAUGAUAGUGAUUCUGGAUUUCACGGACUACAAUCAAGAGACGAUCCAAGUCAAUCGAAUAAUAAUUCCAGUCCUAACAGCAUCAAUACUGCUUCAUUUCCCAAUCUCAGUGCUAGUAACAGCAAUCAUGGUAUUGCUAAUAGUAUAAACAAUAAUAAUAAUCAUCAUAGUCCAGAAAAAAUAGAAGACAAUCAGCCACGACCGAUGGUUAACGGUUGGAUGCAACCUCCUCCACAAUUUAAUCAACCAAGUACCUCAUCUCAACAAUAUGGACACAUGAUGCCAAAUUCUGCUCAAUUACAACUCCAACAGCAAGCACAAAUGCAUCCACAGCAUCAAGCGUUGAUGCAUCAACGAAUGGUUCGACAGCAGCAUCAAAAUGCUAUGCAACACCAACAUCAGCAUAUGGUUCAGCAGCAACAACAAAUGCAGCAGCAAAGUGCAAGCAAUGUUCAAACCGUCCAACCGAUGCCUAGAAAUUUUGGACAACACGUUUAUGCAAAUGCCCCACCAAAACCUAGAAGACUGACUGAUGGAUCAACAGAGUAUUCUACGCCUUCUCCAGAUCCAGACUUCCGUAAAUCUCCAGUUCAACCAAACGUCAGAAUGUCCACCAAGUCGCCUAUCCCUGAUUAUGAGAGAGUUAAUUCUCUCUAUGCAUCAAGAUUAGCAACGCAAUCAACGCCUCCUAUAAGAACAGAUAAAUCAGGGUUAAAUUAUGGUUACAGUCAAAGCCAGCCAUCUGAAAGGCGGACUCCUGAUGCAUAUGGAAGGAGUGCAAAGCCAAGAAAUUCACGAGGUAAUGGAGAUUAUGAAGAUAUUUAUUCAGGUCCUCAAUUGUAUCAAAGACCACCUGGACCAGUUGGUUACAGUAAGGGCUCAGCCCCUAUUCCUAUUUCUGUUCCUAUGUAUGUACAACAACAUCAAUCAAAUCAAAUUUUUACAUCUAUUGCAUCAAAUCCACCAGUUAUGAGACAGCAAAGAGUUCAACCACCUCCACGACCGCAUAGUGCAGACUUUCUUGAGUACGAGGCUACGAGAAAGCCAAGUCCACAACCUGUCAAUCAGAAUGGAGGUAUUCCAAGCCAACAAAGGCGACCACAAAGACCCAAGUCUAGUUUAGAUGUUGUUGGCCCUUCUGAAAUUACUUCUAAUGGCGACGGAUAUUAUUACUCGGAAGAGAGAUAUGCAGCUCAAAUGCGCCAAUCGGCGGUGUACCUCCAUCAGAACCCGCAACAUCAUCAACAGCAGAGAAAUCAAUCUCUUUCCCGAGCGACAACACCAUCAAAAUCAAGUUCUCGAGUUGAAGAUCAUAAUGAAUCGAUAACGCUUAAUGAAAUUUCAUGUUCAGCUGCACGGAGGUCACCGAGAGAAUCUCAAAUAUAUAGACAACAUCCCGUAGCAACUCAAUCUCUCCAGAGAUAUCCUGAAACAAAUGAUGCGAUGGUACGAAGGUCUUUGCGAGAGCGAAAUUAUGACCCUUCAUUCCACGAUUCUUUGAUCCACGGUGAAGGAGGAACAGUUCCACGGAGAAUACAACGUGACUAUGAAUCUUCUCCGUUGGUUAACGGUAGAUUAGUAGACCCUCUUGAGUCGCAUAUGUCGCAGAGCUACCAUUCUGGUCAUUCGGGAUCUCGACGUUGGAAUGACCAGCAAUUCUCUAGGUCAGCGUCGGCUCGAUUACCGAGAACACGACAUCCAAAUGCAUCAGAUGCAACAGAGAAUGAUUAUGAAAGAGGUUUAGGUCAACCCUCUCGAGAUGGAGAGCGAAGAAUUCAACAGAGGGAAGAAUCAAUGAAACGGCUGUUGGAGUGGAAGCAGCGUAUGCUGCAGUCACCUUUGACAAGAAAACCUUCGGGAUCUGCAAAUGGGAAUACAAGGGCUCAGAGUGAGCUGUCAAGUUACUACAAACGUCAAGUACUGUUGGAUCUUGCAGCUCAUGAAGCUUCAGUUGAGGCACGUCACUCACGAAGACGAGAAGACUCUCAUCGACCUCAUGUGAGAAGCAAAAGUUCUGACGGACGUCGAUCAGUUGCUAAUGUGUCGAGGUACAACAGCUACUCCAGUGACGACGAAGCCUCCGGUUCGGGUUCGAUAAUCGGUCGAGAUCCUCUUCCACCUCGAGCAGUAAGCACGUCUCAGUUAGCAGCUCAAAAUCCGCUCACUCAGCCACCAGUCACCGUUUCAACUCUUCCACACUCACGUGUCAAUGGACGUGAACGUCAGCAAAUCACUAGUGGACUUCCGGUCCAUCAGUCGACACCACAGUCCACCGCCUCAAGGCUUACAGUUUCUGGAAAUGAGAGCAAUUCAUCUAUUUGUCGAGCUGCUAGCAUUGGUGAUGUUCGAACACCAUCAACUCUAGUAAAUAACAGUACCAGUGAUAGUAAUCAACGUUUGAUCAGCCCAUCAAGAAACUUGCGGGUGAUUUCUCCAGUAGAUCAUCGGCUUUCUAGUCCCAGUGAUUGUGAGAAACAUAUACCAAGCCAGAAUGAGAGGAAAUUAAUGAGUCCAAUCAGUCCGAGAGAAAUGAAUGGUGAUAGUGCAAGUGUCCAACACAUGCAGAGAAUUGUGCAGGGUUGUGAGAGCACUAACGAUCUGCACAAGAGGACGAGUACGAUUUCCAAGCAGAAAACAGUAACGAAUGAACUGGGAUCACGAGUUGGAUCGUCUGGGAGCACCCAACGUCUGGUACAAGUGUCGGCUGGAGAAUUGUUGGGAAGGACCCAUGAAGAGCUGGUACUCCUACUCAUCCAGUUAAGACGACAAAGUGCAGCUAUCUGCAAGGCCAUGGAAACGUGCCAUAUGGAGAUUGAGGCACAGGCAAGACUAGCAGAAUUGGAUGCUCCACGUCGUCUAGAGAACCUUCAGAAGUUGGAAGAACUGAAAAAACAUUUAAUGAAUUUAGAAAAACAGUAUGAGAAAGGAAAGCCACUGGUAAAUCUAGUUGACAAUAUGGUAAAGUUGGGAUCACUUUAUAAUCGUAAUGGAGUCAACGGGAGUGUCUCUGGAUCUCGUCAUGAUUUGCUUCAAGAGAGUAUGAGAGAGCAGAGAGACCGUCUUGAAUUUAAUCAGAGAGUUCAAGAGCAAAGGCUACUAGCAGAAGAAAGACGAGAUUGGGAAAGACUUAGUCCUGAUCACGGACAGCUUCAGGCCAAAGUACAGCAACUCUAUAAACUUGACCGACUACUACAGGAAGAGUCUGGUACUCUUCAUAGCCUUCAACAAGAUAAGGAGAUACUGGAAAAGGCUUUAAGUGGUUUACGACAUAAACUUCAAGGCAGCAGAAGCAAUCCCAUGGAAACUGAGAGGUAUAGGAAACAACAAAUGUUGUUAGAAAGAGAGCUCAGCAGAAUUCGAAUGCUUCUUGCUCAUAACUCCAAGAAAUUGGAAGAGACAGUCGCUGAAAAUGCAAGACUUGAGCAGGAUUUGGUAGUUUUAAGACAGAAACUUCAAGCAUCACGAACUUACGCUGGAAACAUGACGCGAGAUCCAUCCGGAACAACUGCAGCUCUCGAAACUGAGUUAAGACGUGUUCAACAGUUAGUCGGCGAUCUUCAACGACAGCGGCAAGAGUUGAGCAUUCAAGUUCGACAAUUGACCGAGAAGUCUCAAAGUUUAGUUCAGCAAAUCAAACCGAAUGAUUCCUCAACCUUAACUGGUCCUCAACUUCAUAAUCCAAAGAAAAGAGCUCCAAGUUCUUGGCUUGAGACCGAUUUGGAUUCCGGAAUGACGUUUGAUCAUGGCUUAGACUCUCCAUCAAGCUCUAGUUCGUCCAUGUCACCACGUAAUCGUCAGGCCGGAAGUCCUCAUCAGCACAUUCCCUCACCGCAGGACAAAGAACCACCGACACAUCGUUUCUCUCCGACUCAAUCCAACCGACAGAUGCAAUCAAAUCAUCAACCAAUUUAUGUUCAAUCCUAUCCUCGCUUAGGAGACUCAAUGCUCUCACACAAUCACAUCUCCACAUUAUCACCUCAGCUCAGAGAGCAAAUCCAUCAACAUCAAUUGAAGCAGCAACUUCUCAAAGACCAAAUGCAAGGGAAAGCGAGUCCAGUUCAAGCAAACGUUGCACCGCUUUAUGUCACUACUGAUAUGAGAAGAAUUAACUGCAAUGAUGGAUAUAAACGAAUUGAUCCUUCGACAAAUGGCAUGCCUCUACCUCCACCUGAAUACAUUCCUCCUCCACCGCCUCCUCCAAGUGAAGAGGCUGUUCUAAUGAAUGGAGUGUACGGACAAAACGAGGAUAAUAAAUUUCCUGGAUUACACAAUCGUGAGAAACAGGAGAUUAAAACAGUAAGGAUUGUCAAGAGAGAGUCUGAAAGACGUCAUAGAGACCGUGGGGAUAGAAACGGAAAUAUUGGAAUCCCAUUGACAAAUGGACUCCAAGCACCAGGUGGAGCUAAGAGAUUAAACGAAGAAGAGUUUGGUUCCCAACAAUUUGAGAAGACACAACUUGGGAGAGUUAUUGAAGAAACUCCAAUGAUCCAUGCCCAAAGUACUGUUCAACUAUCCGAAUUAGAUGAUAUGCAAUUUCAAAGGAGUAUGUCAUUACCACGAGGCUUCGGAGGUCAAAAGCCGCAGCCAGAAAUUCACAAUGGACCUGUACCUCCACCUCCACGCAGCGACAGCAUGAAUGCCCUGAGAAGUAUAAUGGCACGUCGCCAUCGAGUGCGGUUUGAGAAUCAUGAAGGAAGUUCAGACAGCAUGCUAUCACUAUAUACGGAGAGUCCUACAUCAAGUUCGCACGUUCCUAUGAGUUCACCAAACUACUCAACAAGUCCAUCAUAUAGUCCAAGCAAUCAAAAUUACAUUUCACCAUAUUCAAGAUCAAUAAGUCAGCCAAACUCAUCUCAAUAUCAUGUUCACGGUAAUUACUCGCAACCACGAACAGGUUCUGUGUCAUCUGGAAGAACUGAGAGUUUAGCAAGUCCCAUGAGUCCUACUCAUACAACUUCCAUGUCCGUUCCAUCAUCUCAGGAUAAACUCUCAGGCUCUGCGGCGAGUAUAAAUAGCCUUGGAGAAUCUCCACAGUUAUCUCCCGUAUUCAAAAGUGAAGCGGCCAAGCAGAUCAUCAAAGAAAUGACUAAGAAGAAACCUGACAAUCCCAGACGACGACCUGUACCCAAAGAGAAGAGGAGACAUUACACAGUGUCGAGUAGCAAGCCAAUGCUUGAUUUGGAAGACACCUUUUCCAAGAUGGGAAUGGGAAGAGCACGAGAUGAUUUGGACAUGGAAAGAGCUCUCAGACCGAGAAUUAAUGCUCCGGAUGUUGUAAGAUCUACACUCAGCCACAAAGAGCUGAAGUAUAAUGAAAGUACCAUUGAUCAACUGCUGGGAACACCAAAUAAAAUAGUAAUUCCAGAACGGUACAUUCCUGAACAGACGCCUGAGUUGUCUCCUGAGGAGAAAAAACAACGUCUUAAAAAGGCUGAUGCGAUUAGGAAAAUGUUGUCAGAAACAACUGUUACUGCACCUGAAGGCGAUGAAGACAAUGUCAAUGUGGAAAAAUCGAAUUCAUUGAAGAAAAAAGUUGCUGAAGAAAAGAGGCAAAGGGACCACAUUCUUCAGCUCAAUCAAAUCCUGGCGAAGCAAGUGAUGGAAAAGAGUAAAAUGGUGGCUGGUAACCCGGCACACUGAUCGACAUGCUUCUUCCAUUCUCUUCCAUAAAUAGGACAUGUCCAUCACAUCACCUCAGUGAAAGCACUUGCAACGCUACCCCUGAAUUCAGAGAUGAGCUUCGAAGAUGACGAUUUAUCACCUGUGACUCCAUUACCCCUUUAUCAGCAACGAGAAAAUUUCUACUCUUAAAUAAUAGACCAUUUAUUCAAAAGACCAUUAAAUAAAUCGUACAAAAAAAAAGAAUAGAUAUAAUCAAUUACUGCCAUAUUGUACGAGAAAAAAAUGUUUCUUACAUCUUUUUCUAACGAAUCAUAGCUCAUAGAGUAAUUCGUUGGUACAGAUAAAAAGGCACAAAUCUAGGUAGUGAGUAUACUGUUAUUGCCUUCUAUAAAUUGAACUAUAAUUACAUGAUUUUGAAUUGCGUUUUAUUGAAGCGUAAUUUAAUGGUUUAUGAUUUAGAUAUAAUUUAUUAUGACUGAAGGACUGAAAAUUUCUAUUCCAGGAGUAAUUCCUGUUGUAAAUGCAAAUGUGCUAUAAAAUCAUUUAUAAUAUAUAUACAUAUAUAUAGGCAUAAAUUGAAUAAUGUAAUGUUAUUAAGAGCGCACAAUUAUUAACUCUCCUCUGUACAUUUAUUUUACAAUUUACAUUGAAUUGUAUGUAAACUUUGUGUAAAGUAGCCACUACUCCUGUAAUAUUAAUAAGAUCAGGUUAGAGGGCAAAAGCUCUGUGUUUUGAAUUAAUAUAAUUAUAUAGCAAUUUUGUAAAAAAGAAAUUUCUUAACUUAAAUUUAGGAAAGUAAAUUGAAUAAUUUUUUUUAUACAUUAUUAUGGAACAUAAUAAAAGCUAUCUUGUGAUUCUGUUAUGUAAGUUAGAUAGAUUCAAAGCUAUAAGCUUAUAUCUUCCGACCUGAUGAUAGUUUUUUUUAUACCUCAAGAUAUUUGCGAUCACACUUUUUAACUAUCAUAUUAUUAGCAAAUAUUCUUAUACUUCUACAUAUAUUAAAUAAUUUAAUAUUUAAUUAUUAAUAAAAUAAAAUAAUAAUUAAGUACUUGCAACUAAUUAUAAGAAUAAAACAGUGCCAAAUUCAUUGUGCAAUUCGAUCACUAUGGUCGUUGUCAAUAAUAUUUACUAUAUUGUAUGAAAAUAAAAUAUUAAAAGAGUGCAGGAGAUGGAUGUGAA
rnacentral:misc_RNA from 1 species